rnacentral:rRNA from 1 species
CCUACGGGCGGCAGCAGUGGGGAAUAUUGGACAAUGGGGGCAACCCUGAUCCAGCCAUGCCGCGUGUGUGAAGAAGGCCCUCGGGUUGUAAAGCACUUUCAGUGAGGAAGAACGCCUGGUGGUUAAUACCCAUCAGGAAAGACAUCACUCACAGAAGAAGCACCGGCUAACUCCGUGCCAGCAGCCGCGGUAAUACGGAGGGUGCGAGCGUUAAUCGGAAUUACUGGGCGUAAAGCGCGCGUAGGUGGCUUGAUAAGCCGGUUGUGAAAGCCCCGGGCUCAGCCUGGGAACGGCAUCCGGAACUGUCAAGCUAGAGUGCAGGAGAGGAAGGUAGAAUUCCCGGUGUAGCGGUGAAAUGCGUAGAGAUCGGGAGGAAUACCAGUGGCGAAGGCGGCCUUCUGGACUGACACUGACACUGAGGUGCGAAAGCGUGGGUAGCAAACAGGAUUAGAUACCCUAGUAGUC